rnacentral:rRNA from 1 species
UACGUAGGGUGCGAGCGUUGUUCGGAAUCACUGGGCGUAAAGGGAGCGUAGGCGGGAUCGUAAGUUAGGAGUUUAAUACAUGGGCUCAACCCGUGAUAUGCUUUUAAUACUGCGGUUCUUGAGUAUGGGAGAGGGUGAUGGAAUUCCAGGUGUAGCGGUGGAAUGCGUAGAUAUCUGGAAGAACACCAGUAGCGAAGGCGGUCACCUGGCCCAAUACUGACGCUGAGGCUCGAAAGCUGGGGGAGCAAACAGGAUUAGAUACC